GGAGGGGUGGCAGAGUGGUUGAAUGCACCGGUCUUGAAAACCGGCGUGGGUUCGCGCCCACCCAGGGUUCAAAUCCCUGCUCCUCCGCCA
rnacentral:tRNA from 1 species